UUGUCCGUGUUGUAAAAAAAAGUUAAUAGUGUUGGGUGUUGCAAGUCUCUAUUGGUAGAGUGUGGAACAAAAGGGUAAAACCUCAUUUGAUUUUGAUCUUCAGUACGGAUACAAACUGUGAAAGCAUGGCCUAUCGAUCCUUUAGUGUUUCCAAAUUUGAAGCUAGAG
rnacentral:ncRNA from 1 species